GAUGAACGCUGGCGGCGUGCCUAAUACAUGCAAGUCGAGCGAACAGACGAGGAGCUUGCUCCUUUGACGUUAGCGGCGGACGGGUGAGUAACACGUAGGUAACCUACCUAUAAGACUGGGAUAACUUCGGGAAACCGGAGCUAAUACCGGAUAAUAUUUCGAACCGCAUGGUUCGAUAGUGAAAGAUGGCUUUGCUAUCACUUAUAGAUGGACCUGCGCCGUAUUAGCUAGUUGGUAAGGUAACGGCUUACCAAGGCAACGAUACGUAGCCGACCUGAGAGGGUGAUCGGCCACACUGGAACUGAGACACGGUCCAGACUCCUACGGGAGGCAGCAGUAGGGAAUCUUCCGCAAUGGGCGAAAGCCUGACGGAGCAACGCCGCGUGAGUGAUGAAGGUCUUCGGAUCGUAAAACUCUGUUAUUAGGGAAGAACAAACGUGUAAGUAACUGUGCACGUCUUGACGGUACCUAAUCAGAAGGCCACGGCUAACUACGUG
rnacentral:rRNA from 1 species